rnacentral:rRNA from 1 species
UUCCAGACUCCUACGGGAGGCAGCAGUGGGGAAUAUUGCACAAUGGGGGGAACCCUGAUGCAGCGACGCCGCGUGAGUGAAGAAGUAUUUCGGUAUGUAAAGCUCUAUCAGCAGGGAAGAGAAUGACGGUACCUGACUAAGAAGCCCCGGCUAACUACGUGCCAGCAGCCGCGGUAAUACGUAGGGGGCGAGCGUUAUCCGGAUUUACUGGGUGUAAAGGGAGCGUAGACGGUUCUGCAAGUCUGAAGUGAAAGCCCGUGGCUUAACCGCGGAACGGCUUUGGAAACUGUGGAACUGGAGUGCUGGAGAGGCAAGCGGAAUUCCUAGUGUAGCGGUGAAAUGCGUAGAUAUUAGGAGGAACACCAGUGGCGAAGGCGGCUUGCUGGACAGUAACUGACGUUGAGGCUCGAAAGCGUGGGGAGCAAACAGGAUUAGAUACCCGCGUACAC